GAACACGUAAGCCUUCUGCCUCUUGGGGAUGCAGGUUUCAAGGGGUGGAAAAUGUUUCUGCCUGAUUGCAUGUUUGAACGAAAGACUAUUUUAUUUUAAAUUCUUUAGGUUUUGGGGUUUUUUUCCCCAAGAGCAUCCUCCUUAGUAAAAAUGACAGCUGUUCGUAGCUCUAAGCAAGUGGCUUAUGACACUGGAUUUAUAAGAGACUUCUCAAAAGUAAAUUAUGUAGAAAUACGAGAAUACAUUUAAGCAAAUAUGAAUGCCUAUCUAUUUAUGAUCCUGCUUGGGUGGUUUUCAAGUUUGAUUUUGGAAGUUUUGCCUUAUCAUGUAGUUUGUAGAACAUGACUUUUGAAAGAAAACAUUUCAACGUAUUUUUAUGUUUAGUACAGAGGUGGAUCUAGUUGCCAAAUGAAUGUGUCCUAAGUCACUAGAAAUAGAUAAAAACAUGAAAACAGAUUAUAAAUGCUCUCACCAAGUGGGAGGGUCAGAAGGGAGAUUUCCCAGCAUCUUAUGAAGGCUUGUGUUCCAACAAGACUUAUAUUGUUUGAAUACAGUUAAAACUGGAGGAAAGGGACGUUCCGCUUGGUCCUCCUGAAAGCAUUUAUUCAGAUAGAGCCUUAGAACUGAGAAUGCUGCCAUCAUGCUGGGAAGACAAUGGGACCACUUUCUUGUGCCACACAUUGUUAUCUGUUGAUUUUGUUGUUGUUGGUUGUAAGACUUCACUUUCAGUGCUGCACUCUCCAGGACUGCUCAUGAAGGGGAAAAUUCCCCUGUGCUAUGUGUCUUUCUCUGACUUUAAUUUUUCCGUGCAAUCCUUUUCAGGGGGGAAAACAUUGCUUCAUGCUUUUUCUGCUCCAGGUCUAUUAAUACAAAUGGCAAGGUUUCUGUGAGCAGGAGAGGAGUGAGAUGCUCAAGUCUGGCUGGCUGCUUAGUUUAAUAACACAGCACUUCUCUAGCAGUGAGAUGUCGAAUUGUAGCAGUUGGUGUCUCGAGAAAGAGAAUAAUUAGGCAGUUUCAAAGCCUUGUGAUUGAACUAUUUCAGAGGUGACUAUUGACUUUAAGUGUCAUGUAGGUCUCAGGCAACCUUCACUUUGCUGGGUACUGUUGAAAAAUUGAGCACCUUGUUCAAGUUGUGAUAAGCACCCUGAAGGUUGACUGUAUCACAGAUUUACUCAAUCUCUGCUGCGUCCUUAGGAUAUUUGAAUAUCCUAAUGUGUGACUUAAAUUUCUAAAAAAAUUUCCUUUUGAUUCAUUUUAAUUAGAUGAGCAACAGUUUUCAUAUGCCAUAUUUUAUUGAUUUCAAGAUGCAUGUUUUCCCCACAAGAGUCUUAACAAUUGAUGAUAUGAAAACAUGUCAUAGUUAAAUUGUGAACAUUUUUCUUUCCUUAUGGUCAUUAAAAUGAAUGCUAUAUCUUACAACUGAUUGCAAAUUAGGUGCAGUGAACCAGUGACAACUUGAGGUAUGGUAAGAUCUUUCAAAAAUCAAACUGUUGGCUCCAAAGUUAGAAAUCAUAAGCUUUAGGCCACAAAACAACUUUGCGCUUAUUAGAAAGAUACCUGUAUGUUGUCUUUGUUGUAUAUUUAGUUCAAGCCAGAAUAUUGUAAGUAGUUACAGCCAAUAAAAUUAUAAUACUCUCCACAUCUGUAACUAUAGAAAUCUAAACUUGGGGCUGAUAAUUUUCAAGGCUUUUAACAUGAGGCAGAAAUUUACUGUUGAAGAUUUACAGCUUUGCUUAUGGUUAUCUGCUGUUACCGUUACACCUUCAUUUCGUUUGUAGACCACUAACGUUUUUUACUUCUUGCAUGACUGUCUUAUGGAUGCAUUAACAGCUAUGAAACAUUUGUGUUUCUGAGAGGAAAGAUGGUGUGUAAAUUAACAUUGGAAUUAGGACUUUUUCUAUGUAGACUUUUCUGUGAAGCUUAAAAUAAGGAAAGGAAUAUUAGGGAUCUAGUGAUAAAUAUAAACUAAGCUAUCCUGUCAUCUCCCUUCUGCAGGAUGACACCAGUGGAAUCUAUGAAUUAUUUGGUACUAGAUGCUUACAUUUUUACAGUAAUUUAUUAGGGAUAAAAACCACCCGCUAAUUCAUUUCAGUCUUUUAUGUCUUGGGCGUUUGAUGUGCCUGUACCUUUGCUUACCCGUUAGCCUCACAGGGUUCAUGAACGUGGUGUAGCAUUUUCAUUUUUCCUGACCUCGCUUUCUUUAUAAUAGCUGUCAUCUGCUCUUCAUAGAAACUCAGUUCCAACACACAGCAUGGACAGAGGAAACUGCAGUUUACUUAACAUAAACCUAGUUUUGCAGUUUCCUCUUCUUGUUAUAACAAUAAUGACCAAACCCUGAAGUUAUAUACAGAUUUCCUUUCUUUUAUGAUUUUAAAAUGCUUCAUUGACCUCAUCUGGGCCAAAGCUAGUUAAGUAACAGUGAUAAAGUUUGAGUUAGAAUCCACGUUGCCUAUUGAGUCAUUCUUUUGACUAACCUACAUUACUUUUCCAGUUCUAGAAUGCCACAUAGAUGCCAAAGAGAAAGCUAAUUUGCAGCACUACUGCGUAGGGAAAGACAUGAAUUUGAUAGAAUAAAGCUUUUGUUGCUGGUACAUCUUGUUACAAAUUGAAGGGGAUUACAGCUUUCUCUGUAGGCAUUUCUAAUAUUAACUGCUUACUGCUAUGAUUAUAAAUGCAUGACAUUAGAGAAAUGCUUCACUCUGUGCUUUUGCCAAGGUGUUUCUGAAAUUUAAAAAGUUAACUGUGUUAUUGUCACAGGUUUCUCAGGAAGCACUCUGUUUUUCUAUUUUCUAACUAGCUGUAGGCAAAAUUAGCAAGCACUCAUUCCUAUGUGUUGAAAAUUAUUAUGGGAGGACUUUCAGAAGGGGAAAGAAAUGGGCUGUGUCUUCUAAACAUUAUGAUAGUAGAGUUAACAUUGAGUUGCUGGUUCUUUAAGGACACUAUCUCUUAUGCAGGCAUUGUCUUUGCUAGCCUUAAUUCUGUGACUAUACCAACAGUGGUAGGGGCACGUGUUAUCACAUGGGGACUUUUGAGCAUGACCCUGAAGAAUGACUGAUGGUCAUAGAGGAAGGCAGGGGACAGCAAUUCAGGCAGAGGGACCCUCGGGAAGACACAUGACUGCACUCCUGGUGAUUCAUAGGGAAUGGAGAGGGGUGGGCUGGGAGUCAGCCUAAAAUUCCAUUCUGAAGGACUAGUAAGCUACCCUAAGGAGUUUAAACUUGCCUUUUUGGCAAAGGAAAGCCAUCAAAGAAGGGAAGUGGCAUAAUCAGAUGUGGCCUUUGGAAGUUCUCUCUGGCAUUACUUUAGAGAAAAAAUUGAGUGAAGAA